GAAAGACCCCGUGAACCUUUACUAUAGCUUGACACUGAACAUUGAAUUUUGAUGUGUAGGAUAGGUGGGAGCCUUUGAAGCAGUGACGCCAGUCAUUGUGGAGGCGACCUUGAAAUACCACCCUUUAACGUUUGAUGUUCUAACGAAGUGCCUGAAACGGGUACUCGGACAGUGUCUGGUGGGUAGUUUGACUGGGGCGGUCUCCUCCCAAAGCGUAACGGAGGAGCACGAAGGUUUGCUAAUGACGGUCGGACAUCGUCAGGUUAGUGCAAUGGUAUAAGCAAGCUUAACUGCGAGACAGACAAGUCGAGCAGGUGCGAAAGCAGGUCAUAGUGAUCCGGUGGUUCUGAAUGGAAGGGCCAUCGCUCAACGGAUAAAAGGUACUCCGGGGAUAACAGGCUGAUACCGCCCAAGAGUUCAUAUCGACGGCGGUGUUUGGCACCUCGAUGUCGGCUCAUCACAUCCUGGGGCUGAAGUAGGUCCCAAGGGUAUGGCUGUUCGCCAUUUAAAGUGGUACGCGAGCUGGGUUUAGAACGUCGUGAGACAGUUCGGUCCCUAUCUGCCGUGGGCGUUGGAUGAUUGAUUGGGGCUGCUCCUAGUACGAGAGGACCGGAGUGGACGCAUCACUGGUGUUCCAGUUGUCUCGCCAGAGGCAUUGCUGGGUAGCUAAAUGCGGAAGAGAUAAGUGCUGAAAGCAUCUAAGCACGAAACUUGCCAAGAGAUGAGUCAUCCCUGACUUUAAGUCAGUAAGGGUUGUUGUAGACUACGACGUAGAUAGGUUGGGUGUGUAAGUGUAGUGAUACAUUGAGCUAACCAAUACUAAUUGCCCGAGAGGCUUAACUAU
rnacentral:rRNA from 1 species